rnacentral:rRNA from 1 species
CCGUUGCCGGCGACCGGCGCACGGGUGAGUAACACGUAUGCAACCUGCCCGUGGCAGGGGGAUAAGCGGGGGAAACCCCGUCUAAUACCGCGUAACGCGGCCUUGGGGCAUCCCAAGGCCGCCAAAGGGAGCAAUCCCGGCCACGGAUGGGCAUGCGGCGCAUUAGCUAGUCGGCGGGGUAACGGCCCACCGAGGCGACGAUGCGUAGGGGUUCUGAGAGGAAGGCCCCCCGCACUGGUACUGAGACACGGACCAGACUCCUACGGGAGGCAGCAG